UGCGAGACGCAGCCCCUCCCGCAGCAGGUCAAUAACUCACGGUUUGUGAACCUGUGGACCUUAUUUGAGCAUCACCGGUUGCAAGUAUGUGGAGGAGGAGAAGAUGCAAAAAGAGAAAUUGUUUACUUGCAGAGACACAGAGCGCCUGGGACUCAGGAAUGCCAGGGAAGACAGGGUGUGUGGCUCACAGUGCUCCCAAAUGGAUAAAACUAUAGAAGCCC
rnacentral:lncRNA from 10 species